GAUAGGUGUCAUGGAGAAUUUUUAUUUCUGUUUGUUGAUUUUUUUGUGGUUUGCCGCAACAUCAGCAACCAAUUCAUCAAAUUUCUACCCAACAAGCAGUGCCAAUAUACAAGAUUGUCCUCGUAGUUGUGCCAUUCGUUUAAUUAGGACCGCAAACGGGAGAGAGGAAAUUGAUUCAUAUCACACCUGUAUGAACGAAUGUACAGGAAGUUGGCCGCUUAUGCAAGGAGGCAACUGUAGCAUCCAAGAUAGUGUUGUGGACUCUAACUUCAACCCUGUUUGUACACCAAUAAGCGUGAAUAUAUCUAAAGUUGAAGUUCAUCUGCGACGGAGGUGGUUUACUGGAGGCCACUUUUUAGAUUCUUCUAACAAUCCUGCUUUGAACACAUCUUCUGAAGUGUCUUUGGAUGUUGCGGCGAUGGAAUAUGCAGUUGUAUCGUGGCUACCGUGCCCAAGUGGUUUGAGGGGUGUCACUGGAUUUCAGGUUCUCAUACAACGCAUAGAAGGAACACAAGAGGAUACAGAAUGCCAUAAUGUCACACUCAGACGAACCUUACAAGAAGGGGAUGCCCAGAUUCGCCUUAGUGUGUUAUCUCGCUUUCGUUUAAAGCAAUCCAGUGAAUACAGGGUUGCAAUUCGUAGUUUGCCCACACCUAACAGUGGUUAUGUUUCGAAAACAUUUAAUUCAAAAAGUUGUUUGGAAUUGUAUGGACUAGACUGCAGAUGCGGCAGAACCUUGGACUCAUUACCACCUCCUACAGUGACUGUGGAAGGCUACAGUGUUACAAUGUCAAUUACAGUAGCACCUACUUGCUUUGCCAUUGGUCGGUAUGAAAUUCAACUUGCAUUCUGGAAGAAUGGCAAUCUUGAUUGUGAUGUUCCUGGUAUAUUCUUGAGUAAAACACGUUGGCGUUACGGUGCGACUCGCGUAACAUUCGGCCCCGUCUACAACCCCAUUAGUGGUCGUUCGUACACUGGUUAUUACCAAAGUUCUAAUCAGAAGGCAACCGUAUACUCACAGUACACCAACUUUACAGUUACAGCUUGGGAGCCACCCCGACCAAUUAUAGAGAGUCCAACCACUGGUAUUGUAGACGUAAAGUUUGAACCAGCCAACUCUUCCUAUCAUAUCAACCAGUAUAUGGUACGUUUAAAUAGGCACGAACUGCAGGUUACAAAUUACUCUACAAUUGAAGAAAGAAAGAUCUCGGCUACAAACAUAGAAGAUGGUUUUCUUACAGUUAGAUACGCUGACCUAGAACCAGGUGUUUAUAGUGCUCAGGUACGCGAAAUUCGACAAGAUGUACAAUUAGUACAUUUUAUGCAUUUUUCUCCAAACAACGUGUUAUUUGCUGACGCUGAGUACGGACCAUUGGAAACUUUUACCGUUUCCUCUGUGUCCACAACACAAAUAGCAAGCCAUAUCGACGUUAAAUAAAUCAAUGUAACUUUCAAGUUUCAUCCUCGUGUGGCAGGGCAGCAACAGUCGUUAUAAGACGGAUUUUCUAUUCCCACUUUGUGCCUGCUUACUAAUUACCAAAUGUGUCUAACCUAAACUUUGUUAUUACGUACCCAGAUAUAAACAUUAUACAGAAACAAAGCAAUAUAUAUUAUAUGUCGUGAAAAACAUUAACCAAUAAACAAAUCGUUGUGAAUGUC